rnacentral:rRNA from 1 species
GACGAACGCUGGCGGCGUGCUUAACACAUGCAAGUCGAACGGAGUACCCUUGAUUGAGGCUUCGGCCAAUUUCUUGGACUACUUAGUGGCGGACGGGUGAGUAACACGUGAGUAACCUGCCCUUGAGUGGGGAAUAACACACCGAAAGGUGUGCUAAUACCGCAUAACAUAACGGAAUCGCAUGUUUCUGUUAUCAAAGAUUUAUUGCUCAAGGAUGGGCUCGCGGCCGAUUAGAUAGUUGGUGAGGUAACGGCUCACCAAGUCGACGAUCGGUAGCCGGACUGAGAGGUUGAACGGCCACAUUGGGACUGAGACACGGCCCAGACUCCUACGGGAGGCAGCAGUGGGGAAUAUUGCACAAUGGGGGAAACCCUGAUGCAGCGACGCCGCGUGAAGGAUGAAGGUCUUCGGGUUGUAAACUUCUUUUAGCAGGGCGAAGAACGUGACGGUACCUGCAGAAAAAGCAACGGCUAACUACGUG